UACUGAAACUGGAGCAGAAAGAUAGGACCU
rnacentral:piRNA from 1 species